rnacentral:rRNA from 1 species
GACAGAGGGUGCAAACGUUGUUCGGAAUUACUGGGCGUAAAGCGCGUGUAGGCGGCCAUCUAAGUCGGGCGUGAAAUCCCACGGCUCAACCGUGGAAGUGCACUCGAAACUGGAUGGCUAGAGUCCUGGAGAGGAAGGUGGAAUGCUUGGUGUAGAGGUGAAAUUCGUAGAUAUCAAGCGGAACACCUGCGGCGAAGGCGGCCUUCUGGACGAUGACUGACGCUGAGACACGAAAGCGUGGGGAGCAAACAGG